AUUUAACAAAGAGUUUGAUCCUGGCUCAGGACGAACGCUGGCGGCGCGCCUAACACAUGCAAGUCGAACGGUGAAGAGGAGCUUGCUCCUCGGAUCAGUGGCGGACGGGUGAGUAACACGUGAGCAACCUGGCUCUAAGAGGGGGACAACAGUUGGAAACGACUGCUAAUACCGCAUAACGUAUCGGGAUGGCAUCUUCCUGAUACCAAAGAUUUUAUCGCUUAGAGAUGGGCUCGCGUCUGAUUAGAUAGUUGGCGGGGUAACGGCCCACCAAGUCGACGAUCAGUAGCCGGACUGAGAGGUUGAACGGCCACAUUGGGACUGAGACACGGCCCAGACUCCUACGGGAGGCAGCAGUGGGGGAUAUUGGACAAUGGGGGCAACCCUGAUCCAGCGACGCCGCGUGAGGGAAGAAGGUUUUCGGAUUGUAAACCUCUGUUGACGGAGAAAAAAAUGAUGGUAUCCGUUUAGAAAGCCACGGCUAACUACGUGCCAGCAGCCGCGGUAAUACGUAGGUGGCAAGCGUUGUCCGGAAUUACUGGGUGUAAAGGGAGUGUAGGCGGGAUGUCAAGUCAGAAGUGAAAAUUACGGGCUCAACUCGUAACCUGCUUUUGAAACUGACAUUCUUGAGUGAAGUAGAGGCAAGCGGAAUUCCUAGUGUAGCGGUGAAAUGCGUAGAUAUUAGGAGGAACACCAGUGGCGAAGGCGGCUUGCUGGGCUUUUACUGACGCUGAGGCUCGAAAGCGUGGGGAGCAAACAGGAUUAGAUACCCUGGUAGUCCACGCCGUAAACGAUGAUUACUAGGUGUGGGGGGAUUGACCCCUUCCGUGCCGGAGUAAACACAAUAAGUAAUCCACCUGGGGAGUACGACCGCAAGGUUGAAACUCAAAGGAAUUGACGGGGGCCCGCACAAGCAGUGGAGUAUGUGGUUUAAUUCGACGCAACGCGAAGAACCUUACCAGGUCUUGACAUCAAGUGACCGCCUAAGAGAUUAGGCUUUCCCUUCGGGGACACAAAGACAGGUGGUGCAUGGUUGUCGUCAGCUCGUGUCGUGAGAUGUUGGGUUAAGUCCCGCAACGAGCGCAACCCUUAUCAUUAGUUGCUACGCAAGAGCACUCUAAUGAGACUGCCGUUGACAAAACGGAGGAAGGUGGGGAUGACGUCAAAUCAUCAUGCCCUUUAUGACCUGGGCUACACACGUACUACAAUGGCGUUUAACAAAGAGAAGCAAAGCCGCGAGGCAGAGCAAAUCUCCAAAAAACGUCUCAGUUCGGAUUGUAGGCUGCAACUCGCCUACAUGAAGUCGGAAUUGCUAGUAAUCGUAGGUCAGCAUACUACGGUGAAUACGUUCCCGGGCCUUGUACACACCGCCCGUCAAACCAUGAGAGUUGGCAACACCCGAAGUCGGUAGUCUAACCGCAAGGAGGACGCCGCCGAAGGUGGGGUUGAUGAUUAGGGUUAAGUCGUAACAAGGUAGCCGUAUCGGAAGGUGCGGCUGGAUCACCUCCUUUCU
rnacentral:rRNA from 1 species